UACGAAGGUGGCAAGCGUUGUUCGGAUUUACUGGGCGUACAGGGUAGCGUAGGCGGUUGGAUAAGCCCUCCGUGAAAAUCGUCCAGGCCUUAACCUGGAAAGUGCAGAGGGGACUGUUCAAGCUGAGAGGAUGGGAGGAGGAGCGCGGGAAUUCCCGGUGAUGAGCGGUGAAAGUGACGUAGAUAUCGGAAGGAACACCGGUGGCGAAAGCGGCGCGCCUGGAUCCCGUACUGAACCGACGUGACGGCUACGGAA
rnacentral:rRNA from 1 species